rnacentral:sRNA from 1 species
UGUUGAGGGGCACACAUAUGAACGUGACCGUCAAUACCGGCAGCCGUCAAUAUCAUGUGCUCGCCCGAUAUGGCAUCAGUUGAAGGACCGGUAACAAGAUCGGGAGAAACACCUUUCAUUACAUUCGGGUUACCGGCUUUUCCGAUACCGGCAAUCUUACCAUCUUUAAUACCCACGUCAGCCUUCACCACUCCCAAGAUAGGAUCAAGGAUGGUAACGUUUGUUAUCACAAGGUCAAGACUUCCCGCUCCUGAGGAACACUCGUUAGCGAGCCCCAUUCCAUCGCG